UGGGGAAUAUUGCGCAAUGGACGAAAGUCUGACGCAGCGACGCCGCGUGAGGGACGAAGGUCUUCGGAUCGUAAACCUCUGUCAGAAGGGAAGAAGUGUAGUGGUAGUAACUGACCAUUACUUGACGGUACCUUCAGAGGAAGCACCGGCUAACUCCGUGCCAGCAGCCGCGGUAAUACGGAGGGUGCGAGCGUUAAUCGGAAUUACUGGGCGUAAAGCGCGCGUAGGCGGCUUUGUAAGUCAGGGGUGAAAUCCCACGGCUCAACCGUGGCAUUGCCUUUGAUACUGCAGAGCUUGAGUUCGGGAGAGGGUGGUGGAAUUCCAGGUGUAGGAGUGAAAUCCGUAGAGAUCUGGAGGAACAUCAGUGGCGAAGGCGACCACCUGGCCCGAUACUGACGCUGAGGUGCGAAAGCGUGGGUAGCAAACA
rnacentral:rRNA from 1 species